UACGUAGGGUGCAAGCGUUGUCCGGAUUUAUUGGGUUUAAAGGGUGCGUAGGUGGCCCGUUAAGUCCGGGGUGAAAGCCCACUGCUCAACAGUGGAACUGCCCUGGAUACUGACGGGCUUGAGUCCAGACGAGGUUGGCGGAAUGGAUGGUGUAGCGGUGAAAUGCAUAGAUACCAUCCAGAACCCCGAUUGCGUAGGCAGCUGACUAGGCUGGUACUGACACUGAGGCACGAAAGCGUGGGGAGCGAACAGG
rnacentral:rRNA from 1 species